rnacentral:rRNA from 1 species
CACUAUGCCUGGCCGUAAACAUUGAUAAAAUAUUACAUAUAUUAUCCGCCUGGGUACUACGAGCAGUAGCUUAAAACCCAAAGGACUUGGCGGUGCUUUAGACCCCCCUAGAGGAGCCUGUUUCUAGAACCGAUAAUCCCCGUUCAACCUCACCCUUCCCUGUUAAUCCUGCCUAUAUACCGCCGUCGUCAGCCUACCCUGUGAAGGAAUCAUAGUGGGCUAAACUGGUACUACCCUUAAUGUCAGGUCGAGGUGUAGCAUAUGGAAGGGGAAGCAAUGGGCUACAUUCGCUACAAUAGCGAAUCACGAAAGAUGCACUGAAAUAUGCAUCCGAAGGUGGAUUUAGCAGUAAGGAGGGAGCAGAGUGCUCUCCUGAAGUCGGCUCUUAAGCGUGCACACAUCGCCCGUCACUCUCCCCGAACCAGUCUAAACUGGUAAUUAACAACACGGACGCUAUCGAGGGGAGGCAAGUCGUAA